rnacentral:rRNA from 1 species
GUCAUAUGCUUGUCUCAAAGAUUAAGCCAUGCAUGUCUCAGUAUAAGUCUUAACACGGCGAAACUGCGAAUGGCUCAUUAAAACAGUUAUAGUCUACUUGAUUUUCGAAUGUUAUAAGGGUAACUGCGGAAAAUCUGGAGCUAAUACUUGCGUCAAAGCCCAACUUCUUGGACGGGCUGUAUUUAUUAGAUACAGAACCAAUACCUUCGGGUUUUUGGAUGAUUCAUAAUAAACGAACGGAGCGCGUUGGCUCGUGCCGGCGCUGUAUCAUUCGAGUUUCUGACCUAUCAGCUUUCGACGGUAGGGUAUUGGCCUACCGUGGCAUUGACGGGUAACGGAGAAUUAGGGUUCGAUUCCGGAGAGGGAGCCCGAGAAACGGCUACCACAUCUAAGGAAGGCAGCAGGCGCGCAAAUUACCCACUCGCGAUACGCAGAGGUAGUGACAAGAAGUAACAAGGCAGGCUGCAAUGCAGUUUUGCCAUUGGAAUGAGUAGAAUUUAAAUCUCUUUUCGACUAUCAAUUGGAGGGCAAGUCUGGUAAGGGCGAAUUCU